GAACAAACAAACAAAACUUAGGACAAAGAGAACAGGAGAGAAGACAGAUAAGAGAGUUCAAGGUGUUUGGGGAAGGCAGAGGAGUGACAACCAAUCAAGCAGGACAGUAGCAGCUGAAGAAAUUGCAAAGGGGGCUAUUGCUAGCUAAAGGAUCUUGCCUUCAGACGAUGGGACUAGGGAGCUCCAAAAGAAGAACAGCCAGGAAAUAAAUGAAAAGUUCUUAGAAAUUAAACUGAUUAAGG
rnacentral:lncRNA from 1 species